CUUUACUACUGCUGCGGAAAAGAGGACAACACUCCACAUUUCUGGCAUUGUAAAUGACAACACCGCAACUGAAAGCAAGCUUGAAUUUCUGGGAGUAGCAUUAGGAUACAGGACCCCUGCUGAGCUCACCAGUUCCUUGCUCUACACAGCUGCUUUCUCAGCUGGGGUUUUGAAAUAAGCACUGUGAGAAAAGACAGAAAUGACCAUGAUGCAUCUUUCUCACUAUGAGAAAAAGGGAGCACUGUCUUUCAUUGUCUGAUGUUUAUUGCAAACCUGUUCUUUUCAGCUUUUUGUUGUUUCAGCCUAGUCCAAAGACGUUUACAUCCUGGAAGAGAACUUGCUGGCUUUUCACCUCAGCAUGUAUGGGCCAAACUAAUAUAACAAGAAGUCUUGAGAGGAGUCAGCGGCCAAGCUCCAUGUCUUGCAGCCAAACAAUGCUGUGGGAUGGAAGGUGGGAUGUCAUGUGUCUGGUUUACAGCACUCACGUAUCAGUUGGCAGUUAACGGAAGUGCUACUGAUUGGUGAUAUGCCUACUCCCCCUUCACCUUCGAUCAUGAUUGUAAACUUCGUGAGGACAUCACCAAAGGCUGACAUUGGCAACAUGCUUCCUGUACAAUCUGCAGAACAACGAUGGAACAAAAUAAACACCUUUUCUUUAUAAAUUACCCGGCUUCAUGUAUUCCUUCAUAACAAUGCAAAGCAGCCUAAUACAAAUUGUCAGUGAGUAGGCAGAUUUUCAGAAUGUAUGGCUAAUUGGAAUUUCCAUGGUCCUAUAUGAGAAGAGAUUUGAAGUAAUUCCAUAGAAUGUUAUGAGCGCCCUGGGAGAAGAAAAAGGGUGAUUUUUCAGAAGGAAAAGAGUGUAAGAAAAACAUGAAAUUCAAUUUUCCAAUGACAGUUCUG
rnacentral:lncRNA from 10 species